rnacentral:lncRNA from 1 species
AGGUGUGGAUGGGGCGAAGGUGCGGGAACGUCCACUCCCGCGCGCCCCUCUCGGGGACCAGGGCGGCCUCCCAGGAGGAGCUUGGUGAGCAGCUGCGACCUGUGCAUAACUUGGGGCGCCGCCAGGGGCUCGCAGGUUCCACGUCCGGCGCCUGGAGAAGGAAGACGCGCGUCCCCGGCCGCGGCGCCGAAGCCGGCUGGGGGACCGCCUGGUCCCGGGCCAGAGCUGGGAGGCGGUGUUCCGUGAGCCGCCUGGUCUGGGGUGCGGGGGGCGGGAAGCGGCCCCUUCGUGUGCGCUUGGGCGAGGCCGGGCGGCGCUUCUGUCCUCCUACUCGGACCCGCAGGUUUCUGGUCCUCAUACCGUGUGGUUGAGUGAAAUCAAAACUUCCACGAUAGCAAUGCUGAUUGGACAAAGAAUGUGUUGUGGACACAAAACCAAACUCUGGAGGACAGAGGAUUCAUUCCAAGGGUCUGCUUGUAUUCAAUGACUGGUCUACGUGGGGGUGUGAAGUCCCCUUACUCCACCUGUGAAGAGUCUUCCCAGUUUCAGACCACCCUCCCAGCCUCCUGUUAUUGGCUAAGGCCAUUUUGUGACUACACUGCAGGUAGAGAUGGAUUCCUGGAAAUACCUCCUCAAGGCCAGUGUAGAGCCCUCAAUCACCCACUGCCCCCAGCUUCUCCUUCUCCCAUCUCCUGCACCAAGCAGGUCUCCAGGUGUUCCAGCUGCUGAUGACGUAAAGUGUGGAGUUGGUCCAGGAAGGUCAUGUUCCAUGCAGCAGAGGAGCGCUUUGUGUGAGAAGUUGAAGACCUGCUGUAACACAUCAUAGAGGAAAGACAUAGCCUGGGCCUUCUGCAACUGGCUGACUUCCACCUUCUCCUGGGGGAAUCUGAAGUCACUUCUGUCCUUUAGACACAAGAAGGGAGAGAUUCUCCUCAUUUGGCCCAAAAGCACCAAGGUGUUCCUGCCUAGCAGGCCAUGGUUCUGAGGCAGGUUAUAUCCUAGAGAUCCAGAAGAGCCACAGCUGCACACCUCUAGGGCUGCCAGUAGAGGGAAGAGGAGGGCCAUUGAGAAAUCAGGAUGCUUUUGGCCUGGUUGAGCUGAGGUCUUCAUAGAACCUUGGAUCCUAGGUUCUAUGAAGACAUUCUAUCUAUGCAUGGCUUUAAUGGAGCACAAAUAGUUUUCAUUUUUCUGAGCAUUUCUCUAAAUUUUUAAUUCCAUUUAUUGUUUUCAUUUACAUGUCUUCUAUAUCAGCAUCCACAACCUUUUGGCCACCAGUUUGGUGGAAGAUAAUUUUUCCACGAAAAAUGGGGUCAGGGAGGGAAUGCUUUCAGAGGCAUUAGAUUCUCAUUAGGAGACCACAACCUAGAUCCUUCGCAUCUGCACUUCACAAUAGGGUUCCUGCUCUUUUGAGAAUCCAAUGCCACUGCUGAUCUGACAGGAGGCAGAGCUCAGGCGUUAAUGCUUGUUGGUUGGCCUGCUUGCCUCCUGCUGUGCGGCCCUGUUCCUACCAGGCCAGGACCAGUACCCCGGUCCAUGGAUGGGGGUUGAAAAACCUUGUUCUAUAUGACCUAAAAGGAGGUCAUCACUCUACACUCUUGAUUUUUGCAAUGGAUGUUCAAUAUUCCCAGUAAACUUAAGAUAUAUCAAUCCAAAUGAAUAUUGAUCAAUCAGAUGAGAAACAUCUUUGUGCUACUGUUAGAAGUAUAUACUUUUAGCCCAGAUCCUAGCCUCCAGUUUUACCCUCCAUUUUGCAUAGGAAAUCAGGAUCCCUGGGCCCUAUGGGUUUCUGUAUUCAGUUAGGAAAUUACCUAUCUCUGGAAAUUAAACUUUUUAGGACUAUCUUUGUUUGAUAUUUGAUUCACAGAAGACGUUGAUGGUUAUUAGUGAAAGAACUUCUCUGGUGCUUCCCUCCUUCUAGAAUAUAUUCAUUCAGGUUCAUGUGGUUAUGCUUCCCUGGGGGCUCAAGCUUAGAUCAAUGAACAUUGCCUUUUUUGCAUUAUUUUCUUACUGGAGAAAUAUAGCACUCCUCAGGCUGCGCCAAUACCCCUAAAAGAAAUUCUGUUGGUUUGUUUUUUUUUCUUUUUUAAGAUGCAUAUGGGUGUGGAAAUUUUAAUCUUAAAAUAAUGUUAUUUCCUCAGCAGUGAUGAUUCACAAGGUAUUUAUCACAUCAAGUCACUCCCUAAAUGCAGGCUCACCACAUCCUGAUGACUUUAGAACUCCUUUUCCAGGGAGGUUCUUGCUUCUUUGUUGCCAAAACAAUAAAUCCUUUGUGACCUUUGUCCUUGCUCCUAGAAUAUUUGGGUGAAGGAGUAUAUGCUGUCAGUGGUGACCUCCUCUUCUUCUGACCCAUGCCCUAGGUAUCAAAGUCUCAACAGCCCUAGAACGCUGAUAACAAAGGUUUGUUUUGUCUAAGUAGGUAAAGGAAUUAUCCAAUUGUAAUCAUUUUAUCUUCAGUAGUUAAAUAAUUUUUAUUUCACCAAGUACAGCUUUUAUUCUUUCUUUAACUCUUUUGCUAUCUUUAAUUCUUUUAAACUAUUAACAGUUUUUAUGCUUAAAAUUUAUGAGCUAUGCACAGGAGAGUCAAAGAUGCUGCUGCCUCUCUUUAGAGGCUCAUAUUACAGAAACUGGCGACCCUCAGUUGUUCACUAGUUCAGUGUGAUCUGUUGAAGUUUCUUACAUCUCUGUCUACAUGAAACUUUGAC